rnacentral:lncRNA from 1 species
AUGUCUAUUUGUUCAAUUUUAUAUAAGUUUAAAUGCCUACUUGUGCAUAUGCAAAAUUAAAGGUCAUAGUUGUCAGCUGAAGUCAAGUUAAAUGUCAUGUUUAUCUAUUAUGUCUAUUUUGUAGCAUGUAAUUUGUCCUUUUUUUCAUCAUGCUACUGUUGGUAUGUAAUCUGAUAGUGUAAAAUUUUAUUUUACACCAUGGGUGUAUAGGAUUAAGUAACAUCAUGUUUUUUUAUUGAUUUAGUGGAUGACAGAACACAUGGAACUAGUAUUGCAAUAUAUAUUUGUAGUGUUUGUCUGGACAGUGUAGUGAUGUGGAUGGAGGUCAAUCAUCAUCAGAGACUGCCAAUGAAACAGGUAUAUAUUUUUCCCUUUGUUUCAUAUGAGAACAACCCUCUUGCAUUGCUCCUGCCACUUUCUUACCUACUGUUAAAAAGUGAAUAUACUCUUUCACUUGGACAACUUUUCAUACAUUACUAUGUACCAGGGAAGAAGAAAAUGAUUGGAGUAUAACGAAGUCAGAUCAACAAACAGUUUUAGCAGGUUGCAUCCCUUAUAUUUAACCACGUUAAUUACCUAGAUAUAUGCUAGUCUGCAAUAUAAUGAAUCUUAUCAAAUUUUAAUCUAUAUAUAUAUAUAUCUCGAGAUACAUUGAGGUCAAAAUUAGGUGUAAUUUGCUCUAGAUAUAUUGUAUCACGGUGAAUUCACAUGUAUCUGGGAUAUAUAGACAAAUCUCACUCGCCUUCCUCAUGUUCUCACUCGCUUCUCUCCCUAUUUCAAUGCAUCUAGUAGGAAAAAUAUGUAUCCAGAUGUAUUUGACUUGUGAAAUUAUUAAUAAGUGUUAUAAAAUGUAAUAAUUUCAAACUAUAGGGAAAAUUAAUAAAUAUGGUAGAAAUAUUUGUGUAGUUAUUUAUCCUACUUAUUACGGUAGUUUUCAUGACCAAAUAGAAUGAAAAAUUCUUUUGAGCUAUUAUUAAUUUAGACAACUUAAACUAUAACAGUAAGUAUCUUCAAACACACACUCUAGUAUCAUCUGGAUCAAAUUAUCUAUAUGUAUUGGCCUUAGGAAUAAGAAAGUAAUGUAAUUUCCUAUAUCUCUAAUGCUUUGAUACACAUAUAAAUGUUCCUUUUGAACGUAGGAUUGUUGCAAAUGCAGAUUUUGCAGGCCAGCUUGAUCAUCAGAGUGUAUGUGUGUGUAUGGGGAGGAAAUAUUGCUAGAUUACUCGUAUGUGUAAUGAUACUACACUUGGGUCUAACUCAACCAUAAAAGCUACAUCAUGAGGAGAAGUUUGUUCAAGUCCAUAUAAGAAGAUGAAAUUAAUUUCUCAUCCCUCUACGGAUGUGGGACUUCUUAACAUACUUAUUUUGUAACAUAAAACAUUUUCUAUAUAUACCAAACACACACGUACAUGC